AGAUGCUCGGAUACUGGGCGUAAGCGUACGUAGGCGGAUCAGAAAGUAUGGGGUGAAAUCCCAGGGCUUAACCCUGGAACUGCCUCAUAAACUCCUGGUCUUGAGUUCGAGAGAGGUGAGUGGAAUUCCAAGUGUAGAGGUGAAAUUCGUAGAUAUUUGGAGGAACACCAGUGGCGAAGGCGGCUCACUGGCUCGAUACUGACGCUGAGGUACGAAAGUGUGGGGAGCAAACAGGAUUAGAUACCCUGGUAGUCCACACCGUAAACGAUGAAUGCCAGUCGUCGGGCAGUAUACUGUUCGGUGACACACCUAACGGAUUAAGCAUUCCGCCUGGGGAGUACGGUCGCAAGAUUAAAACUCAAAGGAAUUGACGGUGGCCCGUAR
rnacentral:rRNA from 1 species